CGUAAAGAGAGGAGGAGGGAAGGUCAUCGUGGAGAAGGCCCCUCAGGCUCGUAUCGACAAGAAGUAUUUGUUUCCUUUGCCAGUCGGUCAAUUCUACUUCCUCAUGCGCAAGAUAAUUCCCCUGAGACCCGAGGAUGCCCUCAUCUUCUUCGUCAACAAUGUGAUUCCUCCCACCAGCGCCACCAUGGGAUCGCUCUACCAGGGAAGCAACCGAGAUAAGACCAGACUCUGCCCUCCAGUGAGCCCAGGAGACCACCGAGGGACACCCACGCACCUCAUGGCAUGGGGGAGGACGGAUGGAGAUGGUGGGGAGGGAGACAGAGACGAGACCACUGAGCCGAAGGAACCAGUCAGGCCUUCAAGAUGCUGCCUGGAUGCUGGGGGAGACCAGACGAGACGAGUCCUGUAGAGGAGAAGAUGGAAGGAGAUUAAUUGAAGGGCAGAGAUGAGCGAGAGAUGGAACUAACUCUCUCUCCCUGUAUUUUUAUAAAGAGAAUACUAAUAAAGUUUGGAAAUAUA